GAUGAACGCUGGCGGCGUGCCUAAUACAUGCAAGUCGAGCGAACGGACGAGAAGCUUGCUUCUCUGAUGUUAGCGGCGGACGGGUGAGUAACACGUGGAUAACCUACCUAUAAGACUGGGAUAACUUCGGGAAACCGGAGCUAAUACCGGAUAAUAUUUUGAACCGCAUGGUUCAAAAGUGAAAGACGGUCUUGCUGUCACUUAUAGAUGGAUCCGCGCUGCAUUAGCUAGUUGGUAAGGUAACGGCUUACCAAGGCAACGAUGCAUAGCCGACCUGAGAGGGUGAUCGGCCACACUGGAACUGAGCCACGGUCCAGACUCCUACGGGAGGCAGCAGUAGGGAAUCUUCCGCAAUGGGCGAAAGCCUGACGGAGCAACGCCGCGUGAGUGAUGAAGGUCUUCGGAUCGUAAAACUCUGUUAUUAGGGAAGAACAUAUGUGUAAGUAACUGUGCACAGCUUGACGGUACCUAAUCAGAAAGCCACGGCUAACUACGUG
rnacentral:rRNA from 1 species